CAGGCCUAACACAUGCAAGUCGAGCGGACUUAUCCUUCGGGAUAGGUUAGCGGCGGACGGGUGAGUAACACGUAGGCAACCUGCCUGUAAGAUCGGGAUAACUACCGGAAACGGUAGCUAAGACCGGAUAGCUGGUUUCUCCGCAUGGGGGAAUCAUGAAACACGGGGCAACCUGUGGCUUACGGAUGGGCCUGCGGCGCAUUAGCUAGUUGGUAGGGUAACGGCCCACCAAGGCGACGAUGCGAAGCCGACCUGAGAGGGUGAUCGGCCACACUGGGACUGAGACACGGCCCAGACUCCUACGGGAGGCAGCAGUAGGGAAUCUUCCGCAAAGGGCGCAAGCCUGACGGAGCAACGCCGCGUGAGUGAUGAAGGUUUUCGGAUCGUAAAGCUCUGUUGCCAAGGAAGGACGCCUCGGAGAGUAACUGCUCUGAGGGUGACGGUACUUGAGAAGAAAGCCCCGGCUAACUACGUGCCAGCAGCCGCGGUAAUACGUAGGGGGCAAGCGUUGUCCGGAAUUAUUGGGCGUAAAGCGCGCGCAGGCGGUCUUUUAAGUUUGGUGUUUAAGCCCGGGGCUCAACCCCGGUUCGCACUGAAAACUGGGAGACUUGAGUGCAGGAGAGGAAAGCGGAAUUCCACGUGUAGCGGUGAAAUGCGUAGAGAUGUGGAGGAACACCAGUGGCGAAGGCGGCUUUCUGGACUGUAACUGACGCUGAGGCGCGAAAGCGUGGGGAGCAAACAGGAUUAGAU
rnacentral:rRNA from 1 species